UAGUCCCAACCUUGUAAUCAAUUACUACUUAACUUACACAUGCAAGUUUCCGCGCCCCUGUGAGAAAGCCCUCAACUUCCUAGAAGAAGACAGGAGCCGAUAUCAGGCACAAUCUUUAGCCCAAAACAUCUAGUUUUACCACACCCACAAGGGUAUUCAGCAGUGACUAACUUUGAGUAUAAGCGACAGCUAGACUCAGUUAAAGUAAAUAGGGCCGGCAAAUCUGGUGCCAGCCGCCGCGGCUAUACCAUGGGCCCAAAUUGAUCUCCUUCGGCGUAAAGCGUGAUUAAAGCAUUUUUCUAUAACUAUAGUUUUACUAGACCUAAGCUGUAACAUGCUUGUACCCUGGAAAUCCAUAAACGAAAGUUACUAUAUCUUCACCUACUUGAACUCACGACAGCUAGGGCACAAACUGGGAUUAGAUACCCCACUAUGCCUAGCCGUUAACCUUAAAUUACAACAUCAUCGCCAGGGAAGUACGAGCCAAGCUUAAAACCCAAGGGACUUGACGGUACCCCAUAUCCACCUAGAGGAGCCUGUCCUAUAAUCGAUAAUCCCCGCUUAACCUCACCAUUUUUAGCUCUUCAACCUGUAUACCUCCGUCGUCAGCCUACCUCGUGAGUGACUCUUAGUGAGCCUAAUGUUUACACAUCAGCACGUCAGGUCAAGGUGCAGUUUAUAAAAUGGGAAGUGAUGGGCUACACUCUCCAACAUGGAGAAUACGAAAGACUUUAUGAAAUUUAGUCAGAAGGCGGAUUUAGAAGUAAAAUGAGACCAUUAAGCUCAUUUUAAUACGGCACUGGGGUGUGUACACACCGCCCGUCACCCUCCUCAAAUAAUAGCCACUCAGUAUUUAACUUUAACUAAUUCACACGAGGAGGCAAGUCGUAACAUGGUAAGCGUACCGGAAGGUGCGCUUGGAAU
rnacentral:ncRNA from 1 species